AUUGAACGCUGGCGGCAGGCCUAACACAUGCAAGUCGAGCGGAUGACGGGAGCUUGCUCCUUGAUUCAGCGGCGGACGGGUGAGUAAUGCCUAGGAAUCUGCCUGGUAGUGGGGGACAACGUUUCGAAAGGAACGCUAAUACCGCAUACGUCCUACGGGAGAAAGCAGGGGACCUUCGGGCCUUGCGCUAUCAGAUGAGCCUAGGUCGGAUUAGCUAGUAGGUGAGGUAAUGGCUCACCUAGGCGACGAUCCGUGACUGGUCUGAGAGGAUGAUCAGUCACACGGGAACUGGGACACGGUCCAGAAUCCUACGGGAGGCAGCAGUGGGGAAUAUUGGACAAUGGGCGAAAGCCUGAUCCAGCCAUGCCGCGUGUGUGAAGAAGGUCUUCGGAUUGUAAAGCACUUUAAGUUGGGAGGAAGGGCAGUAAGUUAAUACCUUGCUGUUUUGACGUUACCGACAGAAUAAGCACCGACUAACUCUGUGCCAGCAGCCGCAGUAAAAC
rnacentral:rRNA from 1 species